rnacentral:rRNA from 1 species
AAAAACCCAUAACUAAUCGCUCAUACAUGCAAGUCGUACGAUGAAGCCCUUCGGGGUGGAUUAGUGGCGAACGGGUGAGUAACACGUGGGCAAUCUGCCCUGCACUCUGGGACAAGCCCUGGAAACGGGGUCUAAUACCGGAUAUGACUGUCCACCGCAUGGUGGAUGGUGUAAAGCUCCGGCGGUGCAGGAUGAGCCCGCGGCCUAUCAGCUUGUUGGUGAGGUAGUGGCUCACCAAGGCGACGACGGGUAGCCGGCCUGAGAGGGCGACCGGCCACACUGGGACUGAGACACGGCCCAGACUCCUACGGGAGGCAGCAGUGGGGAAUAUUGCACAAUGGGCGAAAGCCUGAUGCAGCGACGCCGCGUGAGGGAUGACGGCCUUCGGGUUGUAAACCUCUUUCAGCAGGGAAGAAGCGAAAGUGACGGUACCUGCAGAAGAAGCGCCGGCUAACUACGUGCCAGCAGCCGCGGUAAUACGUAGGGCGCAAGCGUUGUCCGGAAUUAUUGGGCGUAAAGAGCUCGUAGGCGGCUUGUCACGUCGGUUGUGAAAGCCCGGGGCUUAACCCCGGGUCUGCAGUCGAUACGGGCAGGCUAGAGUUCGGUAGGGGAGAUCGGAAUUCCUGGUGUAGCGGUGAAAUGCGCAGAUAUCAGGAGGAACACCGGUGGCGAAGGCGGAUCUCUGGGCCGAUACUGACGCUGAGGAGCGAAAGCGUGGGGAGCGAACAGGAUUAGAUACCCUGGUAGUUCACGCCGUAUACGGUGGGCACUAGGUGUGGGCAACAUUCCACGUUGUCCGUGCCGCAGCUAACGCAUUAAGUGCCCCGCCUGGGGAGUACGGC